GUAGGCUACGGCGACAUGACGCCGAAAACCUUCCCCGGGAUGUUCAUCGGCGGACUGUGCGCCCUCGCGGGUGUCCUUACUAUCGCUCUUCCGGUUCCGGUCAUUGUCAGCAAC
rfam:Lasius niger Lnig_2.1_5756, whole genome shotgun sequence.